UGUAUAAAAGAUAGUCAGGUUGUAGAUGUGAUAGGAGAAUUUAAUAGAGUUGAGUCUAAUAUCUUUAAUUUUUUCUCCAGGAUGUGCACCUGAAAGAAGAGGUAGUGUUUUGGAUAUUUAAGUGUUGAAAAAAGCUUGAAACAAUUUUUAAAGAAUGAGAGUUUGAAAUAAUGGAGAAAUAUAAGAAAAAUUUUGAUGAGUCAAACCAACAAGGAGUAUGCUUCGGAUGUAUAAAAUAUUCUUAGUAAUAUAGGCAUUAGAAAUGUAUAUGCCAGCUUUUCUAGAUGAAGACGACCUGUAUGCACUGCAUACUAAUUCAAGAACUGUCAGUGAUGCACAUUUGAGUUUGACACGUGCAAACAUCUGUGUAACCAGGAUGCCAAUCACGAUCAACACUUUC